rnacentral:tRNA from 1 species
GCCCGAGUGGCGGAAUGGUAGACGCAGGGGAUUCAAAAUCCCCCGUUGCAAGACGUGGGGGUUCGAGUCCCCCCUUGGGCA